AUGGCGAAAUAUUUUUGGAGCAGCUCUAUUGACAAGAAUGCAUUGCAUUGGGUUUCCUGGGAUAAUCUGGCGACACCAAAGUGCAAAGGAGGAAUGGGUUUUCAGGACCCUCAUAAGUUUAAUCUUGUGCUGCUCGGGAAGCGCGGUUGGCAGUUUAUGACUAACCCUACUUCUCUGUGUGCAAGGGUUCUUAAGGGUUGCUACAUCCCUGAUACAGAUUUUAUGCAUGCCACGGUGCCUAAGUCGUCAUCCGCUACAUGGCGAGCUAUCAUUGCCGGAAGGGAAGCUUUGCGUGCGGGACUCAUUAAGAGAGUAGGAGAUGGGAACUCCAUCGAUGUGUGGGCUGAUAAAUGGAUUCCCGGGACCAUCUCGAUGACACCGCUGCUGAAGCCACCGAACACCACUGUUCGGAUAGUCUCGGAUCUUAUAGAUCCCGAGAACUGGUCAUGGAGGCAGGAGUUGAUUCGAACCACCUUCAUUGCCCCUGAUGCUGACGCCAUUCUAAACACCCAAUCAGGAGGGGCGGAGGUGAGGAUUUCUAUGCUUGGGCCUUUGAAAGAUCAGGCAACUACACUGUUAAGUCGGCGUACCGUGCUCUAG
rnacentral:rRNA from 1 species